GCAAUUUUAGUAAUCUUCUAUGGUUCAUCUCUCUCUCUCUCUCUCUCUCUCUCUCGCUGUGUGUGUGUGUGUGUGUGUGUGUGUGUGUGAGAGAGAGAGAGAGAGAGAGAGAGAGAGAGUAUUCUGAGUUCUGAGAUUAAUGGUGCUU